CGCAGGCAUCUUCUACGCCGGUUGCGCAAGCUAGGAGGCGUGCUGCAUCAGCUAACAAAAGGGCAAGGGAUGAUGAGGGUGAUCAUAUGGAUUGGAAUGAUGGCUAUACCACCAUUGUUUGCAAGUUGUUUGCUGAACAAGUUAGAAAAGGAAAUCGACCAAACACUCAUUUGAACAAUGUGGGAUAUUCCGAGGUGAAAGAAAGGUUUUUUUCAGAGUACCGGUAUCAUGUUGAAAAAAAGUCAACUUAAGAACAAGUGGGAUAAGUUGAGGGGUGAUUUGUCUGCAUGGAAAAAAUUAAUGAGAAAGCAAACUGGUACUGGUUGGAACUGGGAGAAGGGAACUAUCAAUAUGGACGCCGAGUGGUGGAAAAAAACAAAAAAAGACAUUCCUGGCGUGGGGAAAUUUAAGAAUAGGCCUCUCCAAAACGAAGAUGAGUUGAAGGUGAUGUUUGGAAAUAUCAUUAAUGAAGAGCAAGAUCAUUGGAAUCCUAUGAGUUCCAACCCCAUCAUACCCCCAAGCCAAGAAGCACCCAAUCCUAUGAGUUCCAACUUCAUUGAUGCCGAG